CCCAUAGUUAUAUAUAUACCCAGACCAUUCCACAAUCUUUACCUUUCCUUCAAAUUUUGAGAUAGCAAAAGGAGUAGACAAAGCAGUGAGUUCCAUCCCUUCCUGCAAUUGCAAUUAUCCUAUCCAAAUUGAAGUGUGCAGUAGCUAAAAAGUGUUGAAGCGGCAGAGUGCAUGAACAACUUAAUCAACUCGGAAAGAAGCGAAAAAUGGCCAGAGCCGAAGACAAGUUGAUCAGUUGGGGACAAGCAAUGGAGUCUGGCUAGCCAACAAGUUGAUCAAGAGGGAGCUCGCCACAUGAAGACAUGAGAUAAUGAGUCAUAGGAGAGAGAAAGAAAGAUGCUAUCUCAAGGGCAUUAAUGUCAAAUUAGGAUGAGCUUAUCCUAGGGAUUUGUGCCCAAGGCCAUCCUAUAAAUAGUGGAGAGAAUGCACACCAGGGGAAGUUUUUUUUGGAGAGUCAACAAUCAUCAUCCACAGUCACUAUACUUCACACUUGAGUUCAUAACAUGGAGCAAGGAAACUAGGAGCCACUGGAAUAGACGUUCAACCACUACAUUCCUCUCUUCUUCCUCAUCGAGGGAGGAGAGAGCUAGAUCUGCCAGAGCCUUUUUCAUCGUUUGUGUUUUCUUUACACCUCGAGGGGUCAAAACAUUGUUACCUUGUCUUUAGUUUAUCUUUCUGAAUCUUAGUUGUUUUUGAUGUUAUACUUUUAGUUAACUCUAGUUAUCUUCCGUUUGUUGAUCGAUCUUAGCAUUUGAGUUCAUAAUUCUGUUUUUGUUUUGGUUAUUGAAGAUCGUUUAUGAAAUGGAGUUUUUAAUGCAA